UACGUAGGGUACAAGCGUUAUCCGGAUUUAUUGGGCGUAAAGUGUAUCGUCGGCGUCUGAACAAGUCUUUUGUCUAAACCUAGGGCCUAACUCUAGAUCGGCAGGGGAAACUGUACAGAUUGAGUCUGUUUGGGGGAACUGGAACACUUGGUGGAGGGGUGAAAUCCGUAGAUAUCAAGUGGAACACCAAUGGCGAAGGCAAGUUCCUAAGAACAGUACUGACGCUCAUGAACGACAGCUAGGGGAGCAAAAGGG
rnacentral:rRNA from 1 species